GACGUAGGGUCCAAGCGUUGUCCGGAUUUACUGGGCGUAAAGAGCGCGUAGGCGGUCCGUUAAGUGUAGAGUGAAAGCUCCGGGCUCAACUCGGAAAUUGCUCUGCAUACUGGCGGACUCGAGGACGGAAGAGGUUUGUGGAAUUCCUGGUGUAGCGGUGAAAUGCGUAGAUAUCAGGAGGAACACCGGUGGCGAAGGCGGGUCUCUGGGCCGACACUGACGCUGAGGAGCGAAAGCGUGGGGAGCGAACAGG
rnacentral:rRNA from 1 species